AACCACACUAUUGAUGAAUUGAUUCACUCACGAGAUGACGUGGAUGUUUCACCUAGGACGAGGACAUGGCAUCCUAUUACUAGCCAUCACACGAAAUUAAUAGGAUGCCACGUCCCCAUCCUAGAUGGAACAACCACGUCAUCUCAUGGGUGAAUCCAUUCAUCAAUAGUGUGGUU
rfam:Oryza glumipatula chromosome 5, whole genome shotgun sequence.